AGGAAUGGAGUCACCUCAACAAAGUGCC
rnacentral:piRNA from 2 species